UGGGGAAUAUUGCACGAUGGAGGGAACUCUGAUGCAGCGACGCCGCGUGAACGAAGAAGGCUUUCGAGUCGUAAAGUUCUUUUAUAUGGGAAGAUAAUGACGGUACCAUAAGAAAAAGCCCCGGCUAACUACGUGCCAGCAGCCGCGGUAAUACGUAGGGGGCUAGCGUUGUCCGGAAUCACUGGGCGUAAAGGGUUCGCAGGCGGAAAUGCAAGUCAGGUGUAAAAGGCAGUAGCUUAACUACUGUAAGCAUUUGAAACUGCAUAUCUUGAGAAGAGUAGAGGUAAGUGGAAUUUUUAGUGUAGCGGUGAAAUGCGUAGAUAUUAAAAAGAAUACCGGUGGCGAAGGCGACUUACUGGGCUCAUUCUGACGCUGAGGAACGAAAGCGUGGGUAGCAAACAGG
rnacentral:rRNA from 1 species